CCUACGGGAGGCAGCAGUAGGGAAUAUUGCUCAAUGCUGGAAACCCUGAAGCAGCAACGCCGCGUGGAUGACGAAGGUCUUCGGAUCGUAAACUCCUUUUGUCAGAGAAGAUAAUGACGGUAUCUAACGAAUAAGCACCGGCUAACUCCGUGCUAGCCGCCGCGGUAAUACGGAGGGCGCAAGCGUUACUCGGAAUCACUGGGCGUAAAGAGCGCGUAGGCGGGGUAGCAAGUCAGAAGUGAAAUCCUAGGGCUUAACCAUAGGACUGCAUGUGAAACUGUUAUUCUAGAGUAUGGGAGAGGUAGGUGGAAUUCUUGGUGUAGGGGUAAAAUCCGUAGAGAUCAAGAGGAAUACUCAUUGCGAAGGCGACCAGCUAGAACAUAACUGACGCUGAUGCGCGAAAGCGUGGGGAGCAAACAGGAUUAGAUACCCUGGUAGUC
rnacentral:rRNA from 1 species